rnacentral:rRNA from 1 species
UUGCAUUAUCCAAUAGCGGAGGAAAAGAAACCAACUGGGAUUACCUUAGUAACGGCGAGUGAAGCGGUAAAAGCUCAAAUUUGAAAUCUGGUACUUUCAGUGCCCGAGUUGUAAUUUGUAGAAUUUGUCUUUGAUUAGGUCCUUGUCUAUGUUCCUUGGAACAGGACGUCAUAGAGGGUGAGAAUCCCGUUUGGCGAGGAUACCUUUUCUCUGUAAGACUUUUUCGAAGAGUCGAGUUGUUUGGGAAUGCAGCUCAAAGUGGGUGGUAAAUUCCAUCUAAAGCUAAAUAUUGGCGAGAGACCGAUAGCGAACAAGUACAGUGAUGGAAAGAUGAAAAGAACUUUGAAAAGAGAGUGAAAAAGUACGUGAAAUUGUUGAAAGGGAAGGGCAUUUGAUCAGACAUGGUGUUUUUUGCAUGCACUCGCCUCUCGUGGGCUUGGGCCUCUCAAAAAUUUCACUGGGCCAACAUCAAUUCUGGCAGCAGGAUAAAUCAUUAAGAAUGUAGCUACUUCGGUAGUGUUAUAGCUUUUUGGAAUACUGUUAGCCGGGAUUGAGGACUGCGCUUCGGCAAGGAUGUUGGCAUAAUGGUUAAAUGCCGCCCGUCUUGACAACCGGAAACCA